UUUUUAAUUAAAAACUAGAAUGAAAGGUUAUACAUUCAAAUUUCUUUAUUAAUUUUUAAUAAAUAAUUUAUAUUAAAUAUAAAAAUAUAUUUAUAAAAAAAAAAGACGACAAGACCCUAUUAAAUUUUACUUAUAGUUUAGCUGGGGAAGCUUUUCAAUUAAAAUUUUUUAAAUUAAAUAAAUAAAAAUCUAAUAAAAUUAAAAUUUUAAUAAAUUACUAUAGGGAUAACAGCAUUAUAUUUUUUAAAAGUUCAUAUUAAAAAAAAUGAUUGUGACCUCGAUGUUGAAUUAUAUUUUCUAUAUUAAAUGCAAUAAUUAUAAAAGUAGAUCUGUUCGAUCUUUAAAAUAUUACAUGAUUUGAGUUCAAACCGGUGUAAACCAGGUUGGUUUCUAUCUUUUUAUAUAUUUUUCCAGUACGAAAGGACAAAAAAAUUUUUAUUUUAAUAAAUUAGCAAAUAAAUGCAUUAGAUUUAGAAUCUAAAUAUAUUUAAUA
rnacentral:rRNA from 1 species